GCCUGGGUAGCUCAGUUGGUAGAGCACUUGCCCGAGAAAGGCAAAGGUCCCGAGUUCGAGUCUCGGUCCGGCACA
rnacentral:tRNA from 1 species